UGUAAAUUAGCUGCCAGAGGAAAAUGGAGACAGUUGGCAAUAGCUAAUUUAGAAUCUAUUUAAGGCCAAAUGAUGCUGCAAAGGGGCUGUGGCUUAUGCAUUUCUGUUUCAAGACCUUGGUAUCUGAAUUACUUUAAUAUAAAAGUUUUAUCUCAUCUGAACAUAGCUACUACUUCUUCAGAAAAAAAAAAAAAGAACAUUCCUUUCUCAUUAGCUACUAAAACUGGUAAAAUCCACUAACAGCAUGGUUUAAAAAUGCUGGAAUUAACGCUGAGUCUUUUAGGUUUGGGUGCAGUAGGGUUGUGCUGGGAGGGUGAGCAAGCUCCAGGUCAAAGCCGAGCUGCAGCAGCUCUUGGGUCAAGCCCAUCCAGGGGAGCUCUGAACCGUCCUCUGUGCUUGGCCAUCAGUGGUACCCUGAGAUUUAUCAAUCCUGGAACCAGCCGGAACAGCACCAGGUUUGUGAAGACUUCAGGAGAUCCAGUCCUGGUGAAUGCAAGGAAAAGCAUGGGAAGCCUGCAGAUUGCAUACAGUGCAGUAAUGUGCACCAAUGCAUCGGGGCCUGGUGCUCAACACCUGAUUUCAGCAUUUGAAGACUAAUUGUUGAAGGGAAAAUCUGAAUAGUCUGAAGAAAUAAAUGAAAAUGGAGAUCUGCACUUAAAGAAGCCUUGAUUUGCAAAUCUGGCAAAAAAUAUGUUUGCAGAAGGAAUCCAGAUGUGUUGUUUUAUAUGUUUGGUACUCUAUUAAUAAAGGGUCCCCUAUAAAUACCAAAACCAUGACCCAUACCCAGCCAUUAGAGAGAAAAGGAAAAUAUUCUUGAGUGUAGCAAAGGGGCAUCAACUGCAUGCCCAGAUGGUUUUUUCCAUCUCUUACUCUUCAGUAUUGAUUUAUUUAACUUUGCAGAAGGUUAUGCCAGAAAGGAGGUGUGAAAAAACUACAAUAAAUAAUUAUAUCAUUUUCUUCAAUGUGAAAACCACCUAAAUUUCAAUAAUUUAUAGUACUGUUUUCAUUGUCAUACACCAGACUCCUGUCUGGAUGAUAUUUUGCUCCAACAAUGGUGUAAUUGAUGUGAUGUGAUGGAAAAUAUUGCAUAGGAGAGUACGUCAUCUACUGCCUCAGCUGAAGUUUUCAACAAGUUAAUAAUUCUUCAGUGUAGGACCAAAGUAUGAAAAAUUCUAUUUUAUCAAGAAAAGUGAGCAUCUUCCUUCAUCAUCCCAGAAAUAUUACACUGGA
rnacentral:lncRNA from 1 species